rnacentral:misc_RNA from 1 species
GAGCGCGUGAGUGGUGCUAGGUGUGUGUGGGCAUGUCGGAUCCCUGCUCCGGGCAGCGACGGCAUCUCCAUCACNCCUCUUCAUUUGUGGGAAUGAGCUUGCGCUCGUUUACGGUUGGCUUUUCUGUGGUGCAUACCAAUUGCGAUGGCAAUUUGUUGGCUAAAGUGGUCCCGUNUCCGCCUUGUUCCGGCGCUCCUGGCGGGCGUUCGGUGCGGGGUGAAACUCAUGGCAUCCGUUGUGUUUCGCGCCGCAUUCAACCUAAAAUGGUGUUUGGGUAGGCGACCCACGACGGGAUGCGCGUUGCCUCGGGUACGGAAUAUUGGGUGGGUUCGAGGCAUCGUCCUCCGAUCGCCACAGAAAUGCGUUCUACGCUUUAUGCGAACGACUGCCGCGCUCGAACNUUUGCCAAGCACUCGCUGCUCGGUCGAGGGGGUAGUGUCGGCAUCGGUGAGGGAUGC